AUAUGUAAAACAUGAACACGUAGAGGAAUCAGCUAAGAUAUUAGAUACUUUUGACCAAAAAGAUUGGACAUGUAGAGAAUAUAAAGGUGGAAAGUAACUUGAAUGAUAGUGACUAUGACAUAAGAGUCCAGGAUUCUCAAAAAAGGAAAGAAAAAAGCAGUGGAAUAAAAACAUUGGGCUUCAAGGAGGAAUACUUCAAUAAAUUGAGACUUCCUUCCCAUGUGUUUUUUAUAUAUCUGUUCUCUGAGGGGAAGAAGAGUUCAGGAGAGUUGGCACUUUCUUAAAGACACAAACUAUCCUUGUGUGAAGGAAAGAUAGGAAGUGUAGUAAAUUACCAAGACCCACUUGGCUGAAGUACAAGGAAUUGUACAAAAAGUAGAAACUAGAUCAAUAGGUGUGUAUAAGAGUACACUGGGACAAAAUCAGAAAGGCAGAGCACAAAACAAGAUAAAACUAGCAAGAGCUGUUAAGGAUGAUAAAACCCUAUUAUGUAAAAAAAAUGAAGAAGGCAAAAAAUAAAAAUAAAAAGCUCAUUUACACGCAGUGGGAAGGAAACACUAAAUGAGGCCAGCUAUUUAACUUUUUUUUGUUUCUGUCCUCAGCCAUCUGAGUGUAGGCUAACAGCACUGACACCAGUGACAACUGAAUACGAGCUUCUGCUAGAAAAGGAAAAAAAAAUGCAUAAGGCAAGUUGUUUGAAGACAAUUCCAGAGACAUCUGCUGCUAUCUUUGAGAACUCAUGGAAGAUAGACAAGACUUCAGAUGGCAAAUACAAUUUCUCUCUUUAUUGAAGGAGAUGAUGAUGAGAGAUGAAGAAUUCUGGAUCAGUCAGCCUAACUUCAAUUUCCAGAAGAAACUAACAAAUAAUCUGUCCGGUUGUAAGCAGUGUGUGAACUCUGAAAUUAAAUACUGCAUCAACAUAACAACCUCCUGCCAGAGGGUUCUGCUCAUCUUCUCCAUGCCAGUAUUUGCAUUUUGUCAGUGACACCACCCUGCUCCUGACACUACAUCUUUCCUUGUCUUCCAAGCACAAUCAUUACGGUAAUCAUGUGGCUGAAAAUGCUCUUGUUCAUCACUCCUUCCUAGCAAUCUACUGCCUUGUUUUUGGAUCCCUUUUUCUGAGGAAAGGUAGCAGAAUAUUGCCUUUUUCAAAUAAGUAUCAGCCAGCAAACUCCACAACUGCUCAUACUCUCAUUGCAAAGCAGUUC